AAACCAUAGUGGGGACACUUGAGGAAUAAAUCAUUAAAUCUUUCUCGACACUCAUAAAAUUUUUCACAUUUUCUUUGAUAAAAAUCACUUAUCUCUCUUCUAAGGGC
rfam:Citrus sinensis cultivar Ridge Pineapple sweet orange scaffold00835_contig_4, whole genome shotgun sequence.